UACGGAGGGUGCAAGCGUUGUUCGGAAUUACUGGGCGUAAAGCGUGCGUAGGCGGUUAUUUAAGUCAGGGGUGAAAUCCCGGAGCUCAACUCCGGAACUGCCCUUGAAACUAGAUGACUAGAAUCAUGGAGAGGUGAGUGGAAUUCCGAGUGUAGAGGUGAAAUUCGUAGAUAUUCGGAAGAACACCAGUGGCGAAGGCGACUCGCUGGACAAGUAUUGACGCUGAGGUGCGAAAGCGUGGGGAGCGAAAGGG
rnacentral:rRNA from 1 species